AAAACAAAUUCAACGAUUGGGAUAGAUAACGGCUGUAUGUGUACUCGCCUCGAGACAGGAAUAAUAUCUCUGAAGCUCGCAUAUCUACUGUUUCUCAUAUUUACUUCUGGGUUUAAAUUAACACAUAUUUUAGGUAUCCCCAUGGCUACAAGUCCAUUUUUAGAGCGACAUAUAACCAAACCAUCAGCAUACUGGUGAACAGAGUGCGAAGAAGCCAUCUGUGAUGACUGCCAGGAACAUCAUAUAGUACUCAAAGCCACACGAAGUCACGAACUCAUACCAAUUGACAAGUACAAAUCUCUUCCGUCUUUCAUUAUUUAUAUAUAGCAGUCAUGUACCUAUCACAAUGAAAAGUACCAACAAUACUGUAUUGCGCAUGCGUUAACUUUUUGUUUCAAAUGCAUUGAAGAACAUCAGAAAUGCAACGUCGUUCCUCUUGAUGAAGUCACAAAUAACGCGAAGAUAUCCGGGCAUUUUCAAGAUUUAGAAACAAGACUGCUAGACUUAUUAUAGAACAGUGAUAGAAUCAAGAAAGACCGAAAGGCUAAUUUGGUCAGUAUUGAAGAAAGGAAGGAGCUGCAUCUUGCAGAAAUUCAACAAAUAAACAAACAAAUAAACAAACAUUUAGACAAACUAGAAAAAGAAAUAAUACAAGAUCUUGAGAAAAAAAAUGUCAAUGUAAGGGGAAUAUUCAGAAUAUCUUAUCAUCAUUAAAAGAAAAGGAAAACUUGGUCACUGAAUAUCAG
rnacentral:lncRNA from 1 species